ACGACCCUUUUUCCGAGCCGCCGCUCGUAGCUCCGUAGAUCGAUCGCCGAAGUUUCGGAUCUCGUUCCCGGCGAACUUUUCCGGUGAAAGUUCGGCGAGCUUUUCCGGCCAACUCCGGCGUCCUCUGUAGAAACCGUUACCGCUCCGAGGCGAGGUCAUCCAUGGACGAGCCCGUUCAUCAUCUCCAUCGGUCGGCCACGUUACCCUUCAGGCCAGCGGCGCCAAGCCUCGUGCCUCCUCUCUGCUAGCCACCUCUCCGCGCAACCUACGUCGCCUGGCCCUACGCGUGGCUGCAGGCCGAGAGCAGCAACACGCUGUGCUCACGCACCGGCCGUGCGUGGCCUAGCACCGCGGGCGAGGGCGCGUGGCCCAGCUUGGGUGCGUGCGAGCCCUCCAUCUGGCCGGACAGCAGGCCAAGGCCCCACGCCCGAGGCCUCUGUGCCCCUGCACAAGCCCCUCGACGAGAGCAGCAACGGACAGCCAUAGAUGCAUACGUGAACAAGGGGAACGCAAGAAGAAGCGUGGUUCGUCAACAGUGAAAAUCAGGAGCUAAGGACCGACAGUCAAAGCAGAAAAUAGAUAUCAGAAGAAAGAAGCCAAAGAAUUCUGAGCAGAUAUACACUGGGA